rnacentral:rRNA from 1 species
CCCUUAGAUGUUCUGGGCUGCACCCGCGCUACACUGAAGCUAUCAACACGUUUUCCCUCCCUGAGAAGGGCGGGUAACCUUUUGAAUCAGCUUCGUGGUAGGGAUCGGGGCUUGCAAUUGUUCCCCGUGAACCAGGAAUUCCUAGUAGACGCGAGUCAUAAGCUCGCAUCGAUUAAGUCCCUGCCCUUUGUACACACCGCCCGUCGCUACUACCGAUUGAACGUUUUAGUGAGGCAUUUGGACCGACGCAUCUCAGUUUAACCGCUGGUUUGUGUUGGAAAGACUUCCAAACUUGAGCGUUUAGAGGAAGUAAAAGUCGUAACA